AGGCGGUGAUGAUGAAACAAGAUUACCAUCAAACUUUGAGAGAUUCACAGCUCGUUGAUGCAUACUUCUUUUUUUUUAACCUGAGCCU